rnacentral:rRNA from 1 species
AAGUGUGAAUAUUAAUUUUUAAAACAUUAACUCCACAUCAGAUUCCAUCAGAACUUUGCAGUUAAGUUUGUUUGGACGUGAAUAGCACUAGGAUGGUACCUCCAGGGGAGUCUUCGUGUUGCACCUA